rnacentral:rRNA from 1 species
GUAUAUGGAUAUGGAAAAUAUAAGAUUUCUGAUCCUAGCGGGAAAAGGCGGGGAAGAGAUACCCAAUAGGAUCCUUCGGAGGAACUUUUGGUAAUGGCCAUGAUCCUCUAUGCUAUUUUUUAUGUGUUCUUAGUUCUGUUGAACUUUUUUCAUUCUUUUAAACAAGAAUCUAAUAAACUA